UUCAAAGAAGGUACUUAUAUUAAAAAGAUAGUAAAGUUCUUGUGAGGAAUUGAAAUACAAGAAUAGUGGAUACAUACAAGUUGUUACAUCAUGAUACUAAAACGAGGAAUACUACACUUCUACUUUACGAGCUCCAAUACCUAGUAUUACAUGGAAAUGGGAGUACAACUUUCAUCUAUCCCUAUCUUAGGAUGAGGAUUAGUCAAAAGAGGAAAAUGAGAUAAAAUAGUGAUGUAAGUAAAUCUUCUCUCUUCUCCUCCAUCCUUCUCGAUCUCACAGUCGCCAAGCUCCAAAUGUGACGGCUUAUCCUUGCAAGUCAAACACCAAAAGGAGUUAGAGAUCUUCUCAACCAAAAAGGUGAAGUCUUGGAUUUUCAUCAAUCUAGUAAGAAUGCCAAAUAUGACAUGUCCCCAUCAAACAACUCCGGCCAAAGUUCAAAGUGGGGAUAAGAAUCAAGAUCCUCCAAAUCUUCCAUUAUGAGAAAAGAGGCAGUAAAAACCUCAAGAUGAGAUCACCACCUAAGCUCCAAAGGAGCAAGGCAAAUCCCCACAAAUCAAUGUUGUAAGAUCAGCCAACCUAUGUCCUCCCCAAACUUCACCAUAAUAGAGAUAGAUACAAAUAGUACAAGGUGAUGUGAGCUCAUCUUUUAAGCUUAAAAUAGAAGUGAAUCAGAUUUCCUUCCACAAAACCCAAGGCUGGAAUCAGCUUACACAAAAUAGACAAGAAAGUCUCAUAGCCAAAUUCAAAAGGGGAAGGGGACAAUGGCUCAAAGUAGGAGUAGAAGCUCCUAAUGUCUGCCGCAAAAGUCUAAGAAUUUUGCUAUAAAAACAGCCCCUUCCCCACUUCCUUCCACACACCAUCUCAAUCCCAAACUUCACCACAAAGUAUGAGGAGGCUAGCAUGAGGAGCAAGGAGUAACAACAAGGCUUAGGAUCAGCCACAAUAAUCAAGGACUCACCCAAGUCAAGAGACUCACAAGUAUUGAGCCAAGAGGGGAUAGGGAUAGGGGACUUAGCUUUAAGGCACAGGGGCAGCCUCAGAGACCCUCGGCGACGGCGAGGCCACAAGGGCAGCCGCGGGGACUCCACGAGGCAGCAGGUUUUCUGGCUGAACAGCUCCAGCAGCGGCUGUUCACCUGUGCAACUGGCAGCGACGAGCGGUGAGGCGAUAGCUGCUCGCAUGAGGCAGCGGCAGGGGAAGAGGCCGAGAAAGGGCAGCUCUCGCCCGUACCCGACAGACAGGGCAGCGCCGUGGCAGUUUCAAUCAGUGGCAAUGGCAUCGCGUGCCGAGAACUAUAUCGGCAACGCUGCGAGGGAGAGAAGGCGGCGGCGGCGGCCAAUUCCGCCUGGAGAGUAAGACGAAGUGUGGGAUCGACGUAGAGCACAGUCAGGGGGGGGGGAGAAAGAAGAGAGGGCUGCAAAUUCCAAUUUCAGGGAUAGAGAAGAGACGGGGCAACGUGAUUUUCAAUUUGGAGAUUUUCCUCUUUUGUGCAAUUUGGGAAUGUCUUUUCUGAGAUUAACCGGAGAAGAAGAUAGAGGAUUAAUGAAUUGACAAAGAAAGAAGACGGCGAGGAGGUCUCUGCGAUGCGGCAACGGAGCGCCGGCGAUUGCGAAGGAGCAGCGACGCUCCUGUCGCGAGAAAUUGAAUCAGAUUUAUCUCCAUUUAUCAUUGUUCUCGGUUUAAUUAUGUUAGGCUAAGAAUCUUGUGUUGCUCCAAACAUGUUGUUAGACAAGUUAAUUUCAUGAUUUAUCCUAUGUUCGUUUCUAUCUCGUGUUCGUUAUUACUACUUAUUUAAUUGAAUGAAUUUAUUACUUUAGGUG